GCAGGUCAGGAUCUGGAAAGUGCAGGGACACACAACAGGGAAGCAGCCUGCUCUGUUGGUAAUCAGGCUUCCCAACAGGUUUGCUUGGGAGAGAGGUCAUAUUUUUCUUCCCUAGUUAGGAAACUCAUGACUGGCGAGAUGGGGUCUUGCUCUGUUGCCCAGGCUGGAAUGCAGUGGCGUAACCUUGGUUCACUACAGCCUCGACCUCCUAGGCCCAAACGAUCCUCCCAUCUCAGCCUCUCGAGUGGUUGGGACUAUAGGCAUGCGCCACUACGCCUGGCUAAUUUUAUUUUUCAUAGAGAUGAGGUCUCACUGUUGCCCAGGCUGGUCUCAAACUCCUAGACUCAAGUGAUCCUCCUGCCUUGGCCUCCCAAAAUGCUGGGAUUAUAGCAUGAGCCACGGCGCCCAGCCAAAACCCACCAUUUGAUUAUUCAUAAAGUAGCUCUUGUGAAUUUAAGUCAAUCCGCUUCCAACUGACAGCUAUGUAUAUUAAAAAAACAUUUUUGAGCCUACAAAACUGAGGGCCAGACCCUCUAGUCUUAUCUAGGUGCUAAUUUCCCAACUUGUAUUGAAUUUAUACCUUUUCCUAUACACUUCAGAACCUUCUUUUUUUCCCCCUGAAUUAUUUCCAUGGCCAAGAAUACUGAUGGUCUUCCCUAUUGUACUAAAAUAACCUCAAGGCUAAAUCUUCUCAUUUAGGCUGGCUACUAGGUCCUACACGCAACAGGCACUUCCAUUCACUCACUCCUUCACCAAGUGUUCACUGAAUCCUAGAAUGUGCCAGUUCUGUGGCAGGGGCUGGCGAAUGAAACAGACACAGGUCCUCACCAUCAUGGACACCAAAGAGAUGAGCAAGGAUGCACAUGCCACCCGGCAUGGUGAGGGCCAGUAAGAAUGAAGUACAGGGUGCUAUGGGACGUGUGUGUGUGUGUGUGUGUGUGUGUGUGUGUGUGUGUGUGUGUGUGUGUCAGGAAAGACCUCUCAGAGGAAAUAUCUAACGACAAGACCUCAAGGAUAAUUAGGAAUCAGCCAGGCUGCAGGUGGACUAUGUGGGGCAGGGUGGGUGUGAAAAAGUAGAGCUACAGGAAACACUGAAAAGGGAGCAGCCACUUUUACUAGACUCCCACUGUGGAGUGCCCUCGAUGCCAAGAAGCAGCCCAAGGCUCCUGUGCUGUCCUCGGUGUGGUGCCAGCAUCAUGGCCUCUGCUUGUCCUGCUCUGUGGGGAGCAGCCUGCCUUCUCCCUUACAAUGGCCUUUGAGUACCUCCUGCUGAGCAGGGGUGGAAGGCUGCUCUGCAGAGCACAGCAAGAAUGCAGCUGAUUCUCUCAAGGCCAACAUGAACCAAUAAAUGACUAAGGAUGACACUUCGAACUUGCUUUAAAAGAAUCUGGAAGUUUAAAGAAAACCCUGAGCUUUCAAUGGGUUUCUUUCUGCACACUCUUCCCUCAAAAUUCUCUCCAUGACAUCAAACAUCAGAGACCCAAAACUAAGCAAUGCGGUGCAACUGUGAAGGACUUCGGAGAAAUGAGAAUGUCUGAGAUGCGGAAAACAUUAAACCAAACAAAGGCCAAGGAGAGGAAAAAGAGAGGGGAAGCUUCUCUCUGGGACCCAUGGAAACCAGGUGAAAGGAAAACAAAGUAUGCUGGGCUGAAGAGGAACAGAAGCAAAUUAAUCCCAAGCUGCCUCUUUUUUUUUUUUUUUAAAUUCAUUUUUGAGAUGCAUUCUUGCUCUGCUGCCCAGGCUGGAGUGCAGUGGUGCGAUCUCAGCUUACUGCAACCUCUGUCUCCUAGGUUCAAGUGAUUCUCCCACCUCAGACUCUCAAGUAGCUGGGAUCACAGGCCCAUGCCACCAGCCCAGCUAGUUUUUGUAUUUUUAGUAGAGACGAGGUUUUACCAUGUUGGCCAGGCUGGUCUCGAACUCCUGACCUCAGGUCAUCCGCCUGCCUCGACCUCCCAAAGUGCUGGGAUUACAGGCGUGAGCCACUGCGCCCAGCCUCAAUCUGCCUCUUUCCCAAGUGCCACUAUCUGUGAAGAAUGUAGCAAGGUUACUCAUUUGCAAAUUCCUCAGGAAAAAUAAAAUCAAACCAAAACUCCAAAAUGCCAUCUGAAAACAGAGCCAAGAUACAUGGCAGCCACCACACAACACCUCAUCAGGGAUUUCAUUCAGAGGUGAGAUGUGUGGCUCUCUGCAUCUUUCCUGCUCCUCAGCGAGAAACUGGUCACUGGGACCCUACCCUGUGGCCCAAAGCCUUGCUGGAGGGCUUAGCCAGUGGGCCUGGGACCUGGCCGAUGAGGGCAGCCAAACACACACGGUGAUGGGGGAAUCAGCACCCCUCUUGUCCACCUGGGCAGUGCUCUGCUCUCCCUCACCCGUGGGGAUGCACCUCCUCAGCUUGCUUCUAUUGUGACCAAGCUUCUAAGAACUGCAUCCGCUCUAGAGCAGAGCUUCUCAAACUUUCAAAGUGGACAGAAAUCCUCUGGCAGUUCUGAUUCUGCAGCUUUGGGGUGGGGCCCGACAAACUGCAUUUCUACUAGCAAUUAGGCAAUGCCCAUCCUGCAGGUCUGCAGGCCUCAUGGAUUAGCUGCUCCCAACCUCUGCAGCAAACAAAUCUCCUUGGGCACAGCUGCCUUCCUCACCUCACCAGUCUUUAGCCCUACCCUGUCUGGCCCUGCCCCACCCUCCUCCUCUGCACCGAACAUACUAGUGAAGUCUCAUUGUGUUUCUGGAGGGGAGCAGUAAUGUGGACAAGCUGAAAGUCAUUUACAUUUGGUGUUGGAAUAUGUUUUUUUCAACAUACUUACUUUCCCAGUCACAAAGAAAACAGGAACUAGGCCACCAAUGGGUCCAGAAUCAUGUUACAACCAC
rnacentral:lncRNA from 1 species